UUGUGCAAAGGUAGCAUAAUCAUUUGUUCCCUAAAUAGGGACUUGUAUGAAUGGCCACACGAGGGCUUUACUGUCUCUUACUUCCAAUCCGUGAAAUUGACCUUCCCGUGAAGAGGCGGGAAUACAACAAUAAGACGAGAAGACCCUAUGGAGCUUUAAUUAACCGACCCAAAGAGACCCAUUAAUUUCAACCGACAGGAACAACAAACCUCUAUAUGGGCCGACAAUUUAGGUUGGGGUGACCUCGGAGAACAGAACAACCUCCGAGUGAUUUAAAUCAAGACUAACCAGUCGAAAGUAUUACAUCACUUAUUGAUCCAAAAGUUUGAUCAACGGAACAAGUUACCCUAGGGAUAACAGCGCAAUCCUAUUUCAGAGUCCAUAUCGACAAUAGGGUUUACGACCUCGAUGUUGGAUCAGGACAAA
rnacentral:rRNA from 1 species